AUACGGGGGGAGCGAGCGUUGUUCGGAAUUACUGGGCGUAAAGGGCGCGUAGGCGGCCUUGUAAGUCGGGUGUGAAAUGCCGGGGCUCAACUCCGAGCACUGCACUCGAUACUGCUUGGCUAGAGAAAGGUAGAGGCGAGCGGAAUUCCCGGUGUAGCGGUGGAAUGCGUAGAUAUCGGGAAGAACAUCUGCGGCGAAGGCGGCUCGCUGGGCCUUUUCUGACGCUGAAGCGCGAAAGCGUGGGGAGCAAACAGGAUUAGAAACCCCGGUAGUCC
rnacentral:rRNA from 1 species